rnacentral:rRNA from 1 species
CCUACGGGAGGCAGCAGUAGGGAAUAUUGCUCAAUGGGGGAAACCCUGAAGCAGCAACGCCGCGUGGAGGAUGAAGGUUUUCGGAUUGUAAACUCCUUUUUUUAGAGAAGAUAAUGACGGUAUCUAACGAAUAAGCACCGGCUAACUCCGUGCCAGCAGCCGCGGUAAUACGGAGGGUGCAAGCUUUACUCGGAAUCACUGGGCGUAAAGAGCGCGUAGGCGGGAGAGCAAGUCAGAUGUGAAAUCCUAGGGCUUAACCGUAGAAUUGCAUGUGAAACUGUUAUUCUAGAGUAUGGAAGAGGUAGGUGGAAUGCGUGGUGUAGGGGUGAAAUGCUUAGAGAUCAAGAAGAAUUCUGAUUGCGAAGGC